UCCUGACCCUUGCCCAGAGUCCACGAGGCCUCUAGGACGCAGGCCUUUCUGCCUGAGCAGUGUGUGUGGGGAGGGGGGCUGGAGCCGUCAGUCGUGUCUGGAGCAGUGAUCCUGGGCUCUGGCCGUGAAGGGUCUCCACCUCUCCGGUGACUGACCUGGCACGUCCUCUAUGCUGACGGUACUGCCGUCCCAUUUUACCGAUGAACUUCCCUGGUGGCUCAGAUGGUAAAGCGUCAGCCUACAAUGCAGGAGACCCGGGUUCCAUCCCUGGGUCAGGAAGAUCCUCUGGAGAAGGAAAUGGCAACCCAUUCCAGUACUCUUGCCUAGAAAAUCCCAUGGACAGAGAAGUGUGGUAGGCUACAGUCCAUGGGGUCGGGAAGAGUCAGACAUGACUGAGUGACUUCACUUUCACUUUGUGGCAAAAUAAAUAUAACAUUUACCUUUGUAGCCAUUUGUGAGCAUACAGUUCAGGGGCAUUAACCGCACUCACG